UCAGCGUUGCAUUCAAUUAUG
rnacentral:miRNA from 1 species